GACGGAGGGGGCAAGCGUUGUCCGGACUCACUGGGCGUAAAGGGCGCGUAGGCGGCUCGGCACGUCCGUUGUGAAAUCGCCCGGCUCAACUGGGCGGGGUCAGCGGAUACGGUCGAGCUUGAGCAAGCUAGGGGGUAAUGGAAUUCCCGGUGUAGUGGUGGAAUGCGUAGAUAUCGGGAGGAACACCAGUGGCGAAGGCGGUUACCUGGGGCUUUGCUGACGCUGAUGCGCGAAAGCGUGGGGAGCGAACGGG
rnacentral:rRNA from 1 species